GAUGAACGCUGGCGGCGUGCCUAAUACAUGCAAGUCGAGCGAACGGACGAUAAGCUUGCUUCUCUGAUGUUAGCGGCUGACGGGUGAGUAACACGUGGAUAACCUACCUAUAAUACUGGGAUAACUUCGGGAAACCGUAGCUAAUACCGGAUAAUAUUUUGAACCGCAUGGUUCAAAAGUGAAAGACGGUCUUGCUGUCACUUAUAGAUGGAUCCGCGCUGCAUUAGCUAGUUGGUAAGGUAACGGCUUACCAAGGCAACGAUGCAUAGCCGACCUGAGAGGGUGAUCGGCCACACUGGAACUGAGACACGGUCCAGACUCCUACGGGAGGCAGCAGUAGGGAAUCUUACGCAAUGGGUGAAAGCAUGACGGAGCAACGCCGCGUGAGUGAUGAAGGUCUUCGGAUCGUAAAACUCUGUUAUUAGGGAAGAACAUAUGUGUAAGUAACUGUGCACAUCUUGACGGUACCUAAUCAGAAAGCCACGGCUAACUACGUG
rnacentral:rRNA from 1 species